CUUUUACAUAAUGAUAGAUGGCUAAAGACGAUUUCGACGAAGUUUAAUGAAGUUUUGAAACAGUGCAGUAUAUUUUAUCUUCGAUAUUGUGUCCUUCGAUAUUUCGUCAAAUUGCCGCCAUUUUAAUGGCUCGCCGCUUCUCAGCCCGAUAAAUGCCACUUCUUUGUCUUCCUAUGUGUUUAGACUACAGUAUCCAAGAGUACUUCUUUGUAGAAUAGUCCCAAUCGAAAAAAUGAAAACAUUUGUUGGGUUUUGAUGCCAAAACCCUCCAGGUGAUUAUUUAGGUUCAAUAUAGAAUACAAAGCAUUUGAAAGUCACGCGCAAUCUUCGGAAAAAUUCUCGUGGACACAUGACAGGGGGGGGGGAGGUAAUUAUUUUCACGAAACGUUUGUUCGCCACCACAGAAACCUAAAAUAUAUUGUAUUUAUUGUAUUUUUAUGAAUUAUGAUAAAACUACCCAAAUAUUUAUUGUUUUUUUAUCAUAAUUCAUAAAAAUACAAUAAAUACAAUAUAUUUUAGGUUUCUGUGGUAGCGAACAAACGUUUCGUAAAAAUAUUUACCCCCCGUCAUGUGUCCACGAGAAGUUUUCGCGAAGAUUGCGCGUGACUUUCAAAUACUUUGUAUUUUAUUUUGAACCAAAAUAAUCACCUGGAGGGUUUUGCCUUCAAAACCCAACAAAUGUUUUCAUUUUUUCGAUUGGGAUUAUUCUACAACGAAGUACUUUUGGAUACUGUAGUCUAAACACAUAGGAAGACAAAGAAGUGGCAUUUAUCGGGCGGAGAAGCGGGAAGAUGUUAUUUCGCUGGCCUCAAAGUGACAAAACGUAACCAAGCAACUGGAUUACUAACACUAGCCCUAUUCCAAACACCAACUCUAACCCUAUUCCUAACCUAACCGUACUCCAAGUUUGUUUCUAAACCAAUCUUGAAGAAAAAAGUUUUGACGAAAUGUCAUUCUGAGUUCAGCGAAAUAGUAUUUUCCGGAGAAGCGGCGAGCCAUUAAAAUGGCGGCAAUCUGACGAAAUAUCGAAGGACACAAUAUCGAAUAUAAAAUGUACUGCACUGUUUCAAAACUUUAUUAAACUUCGUCGAAAUCGUCUUUAGCCAUCUAUCAUUAUGUAAAAGUACAACAACUGGAUGAUAUCAGCGAGACUCGGCGAUAAAAAGCAAACAAGACGGCAGAGUAUGGCUGAAAUGGUGUUUUCGUGGGGGGUGAGUGAAUUAAAAUGU